rnacentral:rRNA from 1 species
UACGUAGGGUGCAAGCGUUGUCCGGAAUUAUUGGGCGUAAAGAGCUCGUAGGCGGUUUGUUGCGUCGGCUGUGAAAUCCCGAGGCUCAACCUCGGGUCUGCAGUCGAUACGAGCAAACUAGAGUGUUGCAGGGGAGACUGGAAUUCCUGGUGUAGCGGUGAAAUGCGCAGAUAUCUGGAGGAAUACCGGUGGCGAAGGCGGCAUCCUGGACCGACAUUGACGCUGAGGAGGCG